rnacentral:piRNA from 1 species
UCUCAAGGCGGCUAACCUCCUUAGUGGU